rnacentral:rRNA from 1 species
AUGGUCCCGGCACAGCUUCAUGCAUAUGAAUCGAAGAAACGCAAGAAGCUGUUGAGGUUUGAAAGUGAUACAAAGCAGUAUGAGGAGAAAGAGAAGAAGAGGAGGGCUGCAGAUUCUGCCAAGAGCUGCAAAUUUGGUGAAGUCAAGCAGCCUAUUUUGCAGAAGAAGAGUCUGAGUUCUGUUGCUGAGCAAGGUUGUACUCCUCGGCGGUGUCCUCGUGUUGCUUGCAUGGACAAGAACCUCGGUAAGAAAACUGCUGAAGCUGGUGCAGAGGAUCCGGAACGGAAGCGACCACAUGCGAUGAUGAGCCCGAGUCCGACAAGGAUGACUUUCUUCUUGCCAAUGUUGUGA